rnacentral:rRNA from 1 species
GAGGCUGCUGUCUCAGAUUAGCCAUGCAUGUGUAAGUAUAAGCGAUUGUACUGUGAGACUGCGAACGGCUCAUUAUAUCAGUAAUAAUUUCUUCGGUAGUUUCUUUUAUAUGGAUACCUGCAGUAAUUCUGGAAAUAAUACAUGCUGUAAGAGCCCUGUAUGGGGCUGCACUUAUUAGAUUGAAGCCGAUUUUAUUGGUGAAUCAUGAUAAUUGAGCAGAUUGACUUUUUUGGUCGAUGAAUCGUUUGAGUUUCUGCCCCAUCAGUUGUCGACGGUAGUGUAUUGGACUACGGGGACUAUAACGGGGGACGGAAAGUUAGGGCUCGACUCCGGAAAGGGAGCCUGAAAGACGGCUACCAUAUCCAAGGAUAGCAGCAGGGGCGUAAAUUACCCACUGGGGACUCCACGAGGUAGUGACAAAAAAUAUCGAUGCGAAGCGGGUAUGCGUUUUGCUAUCGGAAUGAAAGCAAUGUAAAACCCUCAUCGAGGAUCAACUGGAGGGCAAGUCUGGGGCCAGCAGCCGCGGUAAUUCCAGCUCCAAAAGCAUAUGCUAAAGUUGUUGCAGUUAAAAAGCUCGUAGUUGAAUUUCUGGCAUGGGCGACCGGGGCUUAUACAGCUGAACGGGGAUUGCAGUGGCUACGUUGAUUCGCAUUGAGCCGAUCAGAUUGAAGUCGUACUGUCAAUUCCUGCGUAGGAAAAAUCUUUCACUGUAAUCAAAGCAAAGUGUUCCAAGCAGGUCGAAUAACCGGUAUGGUUAUUAUGGGAUGAUAAGAUAGGACUGGGGUGCUAUUUUGGUUGGUAAGGCACGCCUGAGUAAUGGUUAAUAGGGAACAGUUGGGGGUAUUCGUUAUUUAAGGAGCCUAAGAGGUAAAUUUCUUGGAUUUCCGAAAGACGAACUAAGCGAGAGCAUUUACCAACAUGUUUCCAUUAUCAAGAACGAAAUCUGGGAUCAGAAGAUGAUUAGAUACAUCCGUAGUGUAGACCGAAACCGAUGCCACUGCAAUUGUGGGGCCUUUAUAUGGCCUCACAGCAGCGCAAUGGAAAUCAAAGUCUCUGGUUCCCGGGAAUAGGUUCAAGGCGAAACUUAAGGAAUGACGGAAGGCCCCCCCAGGAUUGGACCGGGGCUUAAUUUGACUCACCCCGGAAAACUUCCCAGGUCCGGACAUAGGUAGGAUUGACGGUUUGGGGGUUUUUUCAGGAUUUUAGGGGGGGGGGGCCAGGCCCGUUUUUAGUGGGGGGAGGGAUUUUUUGGGUUAAUUCCGUUAACAAAGGGGCCCUGGCCCUAUAAAAAAGGGGGGGGUAGGGAAAAAAAGUACUUUUUAACUUUUUAAAGGGACAUUUCCGGUUUACGGGCAGGAAGUUGGAGGCAAAAACAGGUUUGGGAUGCCCUUAGAUUUUUUGGGCCCCCCCCCCGUUCCCCUGAUGGGUUCAUCGGGUUUUAAUUUUAAUUUUUGGAAUUGAGUGCUUGGUCGGAAGGCCUGGCUAAUCCUUGGAACGCUCAUCGUGCUGGGGCUAGAUUUUUGCAAUUAUUAAUCUCCAACGAGGAAUUCCUAGUAAACGCAAGUCAUCAGCUUGCAUUGAAUACGUCCCUGCCCUUUGUACACACCGCCCGUCGCACCUACCGAUUGAACGGUCCGAUGAAACCAUGGGAUGUUUCUGUUUGGAUUGAUUUUUGGACAGAGGCAGAACUCGGGUGAAUCUUAUGUAGAGACUAUG